rnacentral:rRNA from 1 species
GCAUCUGUGCAUGCAGUAUAUCAAUAAGCGGAGGAAAAGAAACUAACAAGGAUUCCCCUAGUAACGGCGAGUGGAAGCGGGAAGAGCUCAAAUUUGAAAUCUUAAAGGGUUUCCCUUUACGAAUUGUAGUUUAAAGAAGUGUUUUCUGUUGAGGUUUUGGUAAAAGUUCUUUGGAAUAGGACAUCAUAGAGGGUGAGAAUCCCGUAUUUGACCUUUACUUUCAACUUUGUGAUACACUUUCAAAGAGUCGGAUUGUUUGGGAAUGCAGUCCAAAAUGGGUGGUAAAUUUCAUCUAAAGCUAAAUAUUGGCGAGAGACCGAUAGCGAACAAGUACCGUGAGGGAAAGAUGAAAAGAACUUUGAAAAGAGAGUUAAACAGUACGUGAAAUUGUCAAAAGGGAAGCGUUUGACACCAGUGUUGUUUUUCUGAAAAUCAAUUAAAGAACUGUUUAUGCUAAGUUGUUUAGACUUUAUCAGCUAUCUGCUUAGUUUUGAGCUUUUCUUCAAUGCACUUUUCAGUUAACAAGUCAACAUUCAAUUUCUUUUGCUGUAAAAAAGCUUGAGGAAGGUGGCUUGAGAUUCGUCUUAAGUGUUUAUAGCCUCUUGCCUAUGCAGUCGGAGAGAUUGAGGUCUGCAGCGUAGAUCCUUCGGGGCUAAGUGCAUUUGUGCUAAGUUAUAGCAUUUUAUAGACAACUUGUUGACUAUGAUUUGUCUUGUAGCUUACUCGCUUAUGUUAUUUUACCUACGCUUAGGAUGUUGAAUCUGUGCGAGACUAC